rnacentral:rRNA from 1 species
AUUGAACGCUGGCGGCAGGCUUAACACAUGCAAGUCGAGCGGAGAUGAGGUGCUUGCACCUUAUCUUAGCGGCGGACGGGUGAGUAAUGCUUAGGAAUCUGCCUAUUAGUGGGGGACAACAUUCCGAAAGGAAUGCUAAUACCGCAUACGUCCUACGGGAGAAAGCAGGGGAUCUUCGGACCUUGCGCUAAUAGAUGAGCCUAAGUCGGAUUAGCUAGUUGGUGGGGUAAGGGCCUACCAAGGCGACGAUCUGUAGCGGGUCUGAGAGGAUGAUCCGCCACACUGGGACUGAGACACGGCCCAGACUCCUACGGGAGGCAGCAGUGGGGAAUAUUGGACAAUGGGCGCAAGCCUGAUCCAGCCAUGCCGCGUGUGUGAAGAAGGCCUUAUGGUUGUAAAGCACUUUAAGCGAGGAGGAGGCUACUUUAGUUAAUACCUAGAGACAGUGGACGUUACUCGCAGAAUAAGCACCGGCUAACUCUGUGCCAGCAGCCGCGGUAAAAC